UAGAGUUUGAUCCUGGCUCAGAUUGAACGCUGGCGGAAUGCUUUACACAUGCAAGUCGAACGGCAGCACGGGAGCUUGCUCCUGGUGGCGAGUGGCGAACGGGUGAGUAAUGUAUCGGAACGUACCCCGUCGUGGGGGAUAACUCUCCGAAAGGAGAGCUAAUACCGCAUACGACCCGAGGGUGAAAGCGGGGGACCUGGGGUAACCUGGGCCUCGCGCGAUGGGAGCGGCCGAUAUCGGAUUAGCUAGUUGGUGGGGUAAAGGCCUACCAAGGCGACGAUCCGUAGCGGGUCUGAGAGGACGACCCGCCACACUGGAACUGAGACACGGUCCAGACUCCUACGGGAGGCAGCAGUGGGGAAUUUUGGACAAUGGGCGCAAGCCUGAUCCAGCCAUUCCGCGUGAGUGAAGAAGGCCUUCGGGUUGUAAAGCUCUUUCAGCAGGAACGAAACGGUGGGUCUUAAUACGGCCUGCUAAUGACGGUACCUGCAGAAGAAGCACCGGCUAACUACGUGCCAGCAGCCGCGGUAAUACGUAGGGUGCGAGCGUUAAUCGGAAUUACUGGGCGUAAAGCGUGCGCAGGCGGCGACAUAAGACAGAUGUGAAAUCCCCGGGGCUCAACCUGGGAACGGCGUUUGUGACUGUGUGGCUAGAGUGUAGCAGAGGGGGGUGGAAUUCCACGUGUAGCAGUGAAAUGCGUAGAGAUGUGGAGGAACACCGAUGGCGAAGGCAGCCCCCUGGGUUAACACUGACGCUCAUGCACGAAAGCGUGGGGAGCAAACAGGAUUAGAUACCCUGGUAGUCCACGCCCUAAACGAUGCCAACUAGGUGUUGGGGGAGGAGACUUCCUUAGUACCGUAGCUAACGCGUGAAGUUGGCCGCCUGGGGAGUACGGUCGCAAGAUUAAAACUCAAAGGAAUUGACGGGGACCCGCACAAGCGGUGGAUGAUGUGGAUUAAUUCGAUGCAACGCGAAAAACCUUACCUACCCUUGACAUGUCCGGAAUCCCGAAGAGAUUUGGGAGUGCUCGAAAGAGAGCCGGAACACAGGUGCUGCAUGGCUGUCGUCAGCUCGUGUCGUGAGAUGUUGGGUUAAGUCCCGCAACGAGCGCAACCCUUAUCAUUAGUUGCCAUCAUUGAGUUGGGCACUCUAAUGAGACUGCCGGUGACAAACCGGAGGAAGGUGGGGAUGACGUCAAGUCCUCAUGGCCCUUAUGGGUAGGGCUUCACACGUCAUACAAUGGUCGGUACAGAGGGUUGCCAACCCGCGAGGGGGAGCUAAUCUCACAAAGCCGAUCGUAGUCCGGAUCGCAGUCUGCAACUCGACUGCGUGAAGUCGGAAUCGCUAGUAAUCGUGGAUCAGCAUGUCACGGUGAAUACGUUCCCGGGUC
rnacentral:rRNA from 1 species